rnacentral:lncRNA from 7 species
GUAUGGAACACGGCCGACCCCAGGCAUUGGCUUCUGGAGGUUGAAGAUGGGCGCAUGUCCGAGCGAUCGGAUGUGAAUGGCUGUGGAUAGUUGCGUGGUAGUGGUGGAUGGCCAAUCACUGGCGUAGCCAUCGCCCUGGGUGCAGAACGUGGUCCGUAUGGGGUCAGCUAUGGCGCCGCCGCGCCGGACCCUGUUCACCUCCGUGGUUGCGGCCAGUGUGGGAAGAUGGGCGAGCGCCGUUGGUAUGGCCUGGAGCGGCUAGGAUUAGGUGAGCACCUGGGUUGGGCGGGUUAAGUCCUGGGCGGUUAGAU